rnacentral:rRNA from 1 species
UACGGAGGGUGCAAGCGUUAUCCGGAUUUACUGGGUUUAAAGGGUGCGUAGGUGGGUUGGUAAGUCAGUGGUGAAAUACUUUCGCUUAACGAAGGAACUGCCAUUGAUACCACCAGUCUUGAAUACAGUGGAGGUAGGCGGAAUGCGUCAUGUAGCGGUGAAAUGCUUAGAUAUGACGCAGAACACCAAUUGCGAAGGCAGCUUGCUACACUGUUAUUGACACUGAGGCACGAAAGCGUGGGGAUCAAACAGG